rnacentral:rRNA from 1 species
UAGGGAAUCUUCCGCAAUGGACGCAAGUCUGACGGAGCAACGCCGCGUGAGUGAAGAAGGAUUUCGGUUCGUAAAACUCUGUUGUUAGAGAAGAACAGCGCAUAGAGUAACUGCUAUGCGUGUGACGGUAUCUAACCAGAAAGCCACGGCUAACUACGUGCCAGCAGCCGCGGUAAUACGUAGGUGGCAAGCGUUGUCCGGAUUUAUUGGGCGUAAAGCGAGCGCAGGCGGUCAAUUAAGUCUGAUGUGAAAGCCCCCGGCUCAACCGGGGAGGGUCAUUGGAAACUGGUUGACUUGAGUGCAGAAGAGGAGAGUGGAUUUCCAUGUGUAGCGGUGAAAUGCGUAUAUAUAUGGAGAGACACCAGUAGCGAAGGCGACUCUCUGGUCUGUAACUGACGCUGAGGCUCGAAAGCGUGGGUAGCAAACAGG